rnacentral:rRNA from 1 species
AGCAGCCGCGGUAAUUCCAGCUCCAAUAGCGUAUAUUAAAGUUGUUGCAGUUAAAAAGCUCGUAGUUGAAUUUCGAGAUCAAUUUGUGGGUCGUGCCUCGGUACGUACUGGCAUUAUCGAUUUCUCCCUUCUGAAGAACCGCGAUGUCAUUAAUUUGGUGUCGUGGGGAAUCAGGACUGUUACUUCGAAAAAAUUAGAGUGUUUAAAGCAGGCUUACGCUUGAAUACAUUAGCAUGGAAUAAUGAAAUAGGACGUUUGAUUCUAUUUUGUUGGUUUCUAGGAUCGACGUAAUGAUUAAUAGGGAUAGUUGGGGGCAUUAGUAUUCAAUUGUCAGAGGUGAAAUUCUUGGAUUUAUUGAAGACUAACUACUGCGAAAGCAUUUGCCAAGGAUGUUUUCAUUAAUCAAGAACGAAAGUUAGGGGAUCGAAGACGAUCGAUACCGUCGUAGUCUUAACCAUAAACUAUGCCGACUAGGGAUCGGAUGAUGUUAAUUUUUUCAAUGACUCAUUCGGCGCCUUAC